GGAUGUGGUUUGGUCUUUGGCUGAUCCGUCACGAAGAUGAGAUCAUGAUUUUUCUGUAUCAGAACUGGAUCAAUAUCUGAUGUUUUUUUUUCUCACGUCUCUUCGCUUUCCACAGGUGCAAACACCACUUCAAGCGUCCUUGAAGCCGCCAAGCAGGCAUCAGGUGCAGGUUACUGCUUGCAUCUGGUUGUAUGUCUCCCUGUGAUUUUUUUGCUGUUGGUUUUUGUUCUGCUGCUAUUCUACAAAGUGAAGAAAAGGACGAACUCUGAUGGCUUGAACACGAGGGAAAACGUGGACGACCGAAGCACGAAGAUUUCCCACUAUGAGAACUGGCCUCUGGUCUACAGGUGUGAAGACCCCAUCUACCAGAGCCUCAGUCCGGCCAGCAGGGAUCAGGACCAAACCUACGCUACGCUCACACACUCAAAACAGACAUGAGAGUGUUUGGACUUUUACUCGUUUAACCAGUAUAUUCUAAGUUAGUAUGGAGCCACUUAUUCCCCAAGCUUUCUCAGAUGCGUGCCUUCUUAAAUUCUACUCCUUAGGGAGCUUGAUGAAACAUUCAGUGAAAGAGUCUGUGAAAAUGUGUUUCGUGUGAGGUGGAAUUACACGUGUAUAGUGUAUGUACUGUGUAUUCUGAUCCACCUAGAAAAGGCUCCACCUCAACCUCUCUCGCUCUCUCUCAGUCAGCAGACUCUCCCCGAGCGGAGUCUCCCCAC